UGGGGAGCGAACAGGAUUAGAUACCCUGGUAGUCCACGCCGUAAACGAUGGAUACUAGCUGUUCGGUUUUCGGACUGAGUGGCUAAGCGAAAGUGAUAAGUAUCCCACCUGGGGAGUACGUUCGCAAGAAUGAAACUCAAAGGAAUUGACGGGGGCCCGCACAAGCGGUGGAGCAUGUGGUUUAAUUCGAUGAUACGCGAGGAACCUUACCAGGGCUUAAAUGUAGAUUGACAGAUUUGGAAACAGAUUUUUCUUCGGACAAUUUACAAGGUGCUGCAUGGUUGUCGUCAGCUCGUGCCGUGAGGUGUCAGGUUAAGUCCUAUAACGAGCGCAACCCCUAUUGUUAGUUACCAGCGCGUAGUGGCGGGGACUCUAGCAAGACUGCCGGUGCAAACCGUGAGGAAGGUGGGGAUGACGUCAAAUCAUCACGGCCCUUACGUCCUGGGCUACACACGUGCUACAAUGGCAAGUACAGAAAGCAGCUACCUGGCAACAGGAUGCGAAUCUCCAAAGCUUGUCUCAGUUCGGAUUGGAGUCUGCAACUCGACUCUAUGAAGCUGGAAUCGCUAGUAAUCGGAUAUCAGCCAUGAUCCGGUGAAUACGUUCCCGGGCCUUGUACACACCGCCCGUCAAGCCAUGGAAGCUGGGGGUACCUGAAGUCGGUGACCGC
rnacentral:rRNA from 1 species